UUUUCCCUCCAAUUGAAUUGAAUGUGUUUACAUUUCUCUUUUUUUCUCAUCUUAUUAAAUUAAUUAUUCUAUUUUAUUUUAAUUAGAUUAAUUUUCUGAUGAUGGAUUAAGAUUAUCAUGGAAUAUGUCACACGGUGUAAUUGGAUUAUGGUUGAUCAAGGAUCUAAUUUACUGAUUAGAAAUAUUUAAAUUGAUUAGAUUGUUGGAUGUUAACAUGGUUGUCAUCAAUUGGAUUGCUACUUUGAAUACUAUGUUUUAUUGGGAUUCCAUUUGAAUUUGCUUUUAUUCAAAUGAUCCGUUGAAUUAAUGUCCUCACUGAUUUUCUAAUCAGAUACAUGCUAAUGACUAAUGCUGGAAUAUUGACUCGAUUAUUUAUCAUUUGAUAAGAUGGUGUAAUCUAUUAUUGUGACCAAUAAUUCAACUGUCUCAAUCAUCAUUCAAUCAACAACUCAAAAGGAUGAGAAUAAAAAAAAUCAUCUUCAGCUAAUACUCAGAGUGGAUGGUGUUUUCUCCUCACAUAUUAUUCAUCACAUACUUUAGUGAAAACAAAUAUAAAAGAUCAACACAAAGAGAGAUUCAACUUUAAAUCUAUUAAGUGAGAGAGAUGAAGUGAGAGGAUUAAACAAUUAAGAAAAACUGGCCAACAACAUUAAGGUAACUCCAAGGUAGCCAAAGUAAAAGGGUGAGGCUAUUUGUGAACACCUGAGGUAAAGGUGUAAAAAAGUAAGUUUAAAAAGUAACAGGUAACAAAUUCUUUUCACUAAUGAAGUGGAUGAAGGUGGAAAAAAAGAGAUAAAAGAAAAGAGCAAAGAGUAAAAAGGAAAUCAUCAAAGAUUAUGGUUAUUCAUGGACACAAUCAAGAAGCUAAUCAACUCGUGCAACCUUUUAGUUUAAUCCAGAUAAUCGGAAAAUCAACUAAGACCUGUAAAUGCAAAGCAAAAGAAACAAGAGGUUGGCCUGUUUGACGUUAAAUCAGAUAAAAGUGAUGUUUUAUUAGGCUCCUUUUUUCCUCUCCCUUUUUAUCCAACCAUUUUCUAUUCUCUCUCAUAAUCAUCAUCAAAACCAUCUUAUAUUACUCAUAUAUUCAUGAGAUCGAGAAGAAGAAGAAGAAAAAAAACAAAAUUCAAGCAUCACGCACUCAUAAUAACACUUAUUACUUGUGCUUCUUAACACACCAACAGUUAAUAAUCAACAAAGUGAAUUAUUUUUUAAUCCAAAAAAUUAAUCAAGGACAAUCAAGUUUUGCAGGACAAAAAAAACAUCAAAACCAAUGGUGGAAAUUACAAAAAAAAAUAAACAUGAUGAUACUCAUGACAUAACCAAGAAGAUGAUAUAAUUCAGUUGUGUGGCCCUGAUAAUAAUCAAAAUCAAAUUAAGAUAAUCUUGAGCAAUAAGAUGAAGAUAAGCUUCCAGUCGAAUCGGUAAUUGUAACUGAUGACAGAUUAAUAUCUGGUGACAGUUGGAUGAACACGGAAUCCAAGCUUGAGGCCAGAAUAUUUACCUGGAAAAUAAAGAAAAGAAAAUGAAGAUAAUCAUGAUAAUGAUGAUGAUAAAGAUGAUAAAGAUGAUAGUCUAACAGCUAAUUACAAAGCCACAGUAACGUUAUUGUGGUGAUACAAAAUAAUAAUGAUGAUGACAGGAUGAAAAGUGUCCAGGUAAAUGGGAAAGAAAAAUAUGAUUUAUUGCAAAAUUAAUCAUAUCAAAUAAAAAAGGUUUCAGGACACUUACCUGUAAUCAGAGACGAUGCUGAAAUACAUGCGAUUUAAUUACAAGCAAUCAGUCAGAAAUUAAAAUCUUCCCAACUUGGACCAAUAAAUUAGUGCUAUUGAUUCAUAAAUGGAACAACUAAAUCCUAAAAGGAGACAACAACAAUUAAAUGAAAGUAAAUAGAGAGCCAAACAAUUAUCACAAUCAAGCAGAAAAGAAACCCAAUAUAUCUGGAUAUGGAUUUUAAAUCAAUGGAUAUCAAUCAGAAUUAUCAAUUUUGUGAUGAGAAUCAACUUACAAAAGAAGAUGAAGUUUACUAUCAUAUUAUCAUCUAUUGAUUAUCAUUGAUAACCUUCAAUUAUUUUCAUCUCUAUAAUAAUAAUGAUAAUCGAAAGAUAGUAAACAAUAAUGAUGCGAUUUAUGUAAACAUGGAAACAAGCAAAGAUAUUAAUGUAUUAUUAUUAUCAAGGAGAGAGAUGAAGAAAUCAAGCCAAGGAAAGAAGAAGAGAAAACGAUUCAUGAUGAUAAAUAAACAAAUUUGGGUGUAAAAUGGUUGGAACAAUAAAGCCAACAGGUAAAAGAAGACGAGAAAAGUAUAAUUGAAUGGUGAACAUACUCGUUAAAUCAACUCCACCCUUACAACUUGUAGACAAUCAAUGGAAUCGACUGAUAAUAUAAUUCUCGAAGGAAAUAACAAAAAGUAAAAGGACCAACCCCCAUUAAUACAAUUCACUUUGUAUCUUCAUCAUCAUCAUCAUUUCUCCUCAUCCACUCAUGUCCAAUCAAACAGAAAGUAUUACCAGCCUCCCAAAUAAAACGGGCAAUUACAGUUGGCAGCAUAAAAUUAUAUGUUACCGUAUAUGUGAUGUUUGAUUUAAUUACCAUAAACUGUUGAUUAAUAAAUAGACUCACUAAGAGGAGGAUUAACGGAGAGAUACCAAGGAAAACAAAGGGAAACAACAAUUUGUUGUUAUAAUCGUUUAGCAUCAUAAUCAUCUUGAUCAUCAUCAUCAUCAUCAUCUACUUUUCAUCAACAAUCAACACAAUAACAAGAAACACAUUAACGUUUUUUAUUUAAACGGGAGACAUGAAAAAUUUUGAUAAAUGUUGUAUAUAUUGCUGAUAGUGAUCAACAAUGAGGCUCACCCUCAGUUGAACAAUCAACUGUUUUUCAUGGCGUUUUCAUCAUCAAGAUAAACUUAGCUUGAGAUCAGGUAGUCGGAUCAGCGGUGGUCAAUAUGAAGCCUCUUAAGAGAGUGUUAAAGAGAUAACCUUUUCCUUUGCAUUAUCAACAAUAUCUACACUUGGGAAAAAAAACAACAACAAUCUUAAUAACAAUGGAAACAAUGUUUAAUCAUAAAUGGGAGGAAGAUCUUAAUUCAGUGUUACCUUGAUUACUGGAAAAGAUGAUGAGUUAACCUGAUCCAUUGGAUAAAAGACCGACAUGAUUGGGAUAGUAAAAUGUUCAACAGGUUACCCUAUACGAUGAUGAUCGCACCUUUACAAGCAUCAAUCAAGAAAGAUUUUGGUCUUUAUCUUUUUAAAUGAUUGUUCCUGACAAGAGGAUUAAACGUUUUCCUUGAUCAUUGGGAUUGAGAAGAAAAAAAUUUACUUGAAUCUUACCUGGUUUACGUUAAUCUAUAACCCUGACCCAGCAGGACCCAAUUGAAUCUUGAUCAUCAAUAUCUCUCGUUUAGGUCCAUUUAUAUGUCCAUUUUUCAUCAUCAGCAUCUCUCUCACUCGCUCACUUGGGAAUCUUUAUCAUCUUAAACCAUCAUCUUAUAAAUUUUCAUCAUCAUUGGUUAAUCAUGUGUCGAUUUCUGAAUCAAUGUUACCACUCACCAACCCUGUUAACAUUAAAUUACUUGGGAGAUGAUAAUACAUUUGGAUUAAAUCUCAGAUUAACAACAACAUUGAUUUAUCCUUCUUAACUUUUAAUUGUCUCAUGUUAUCAAAUCAACCAAUCAAGAAAUCAGUUUAAAAGGUUAAACCAUAAUAGAUUCAAACAACAAGAGAAAAUUGAAUGAAUACAUUUUGAUUAUAUCACAUUGGUGACAGAAAAUGGGAGGAAGAUGAAAAGGUGAGAGAAUUUGCAAGAAGAAGAUAAUUUAGUAGGUAGAAGAGAAGUGAAGAUAAUUGUUGAACAAUCGAGAGAGAAAAUUUAAUCCAUGAAUUAAUUGCAUUAAUCUUAAUCUCUUAAGGUGCAAGGUUAAUUGCAAUUAAAAAUCUCGAGACACCAAGAAUCAAAUGGUUACCUUUUACCUGUCGAUACUCAUUCCAAUGUUUACAUAACAAACAUACACUUAUGGAUAAUAGAUGAUGAUGAGGAUGAAAAGGUUGGGUGAGAAGAUGGAAGACUCUCUCUCUCUCUCACUCACUCUCUUUAUAUUUAUCUUCAUCUUAAUCAUCAUCUCAUUUUCAAUUAAGAUGAUGACAUAAAUCAAUGGACAUUUGGUGGUUUCUCCUCUUUUCCAUUAUUAUGAUUAACUUUUUCUCUCGCUUUUUUGAUUUACUUCUAAUUGUGAUUCAAUCUUCGCAGGAUUAUGAUGAUUUUGAUAAUAAAAAUACUCUAGUUAAACAUAAUUAACAAUUAGAGUGAUUUAAUUUCUAACUAACAAUCUAAUCUAACUUGAAUUUGAUUCAUUUGAAACGGAACUGAAUCAGGAUAAAGUCUUAGUCACGAUUCUUAGUUUUUGAUUAAAAUUACUACUGACUAAUCAUCAUCUCUACGCAUUAAAAGUCAUUCACUGAUUAUUUCAAUUGGUUAUUUUUUUCUUACCUGUAAAAACUGUCAACAAUCAAGUUUACAAUCAACUGAAGAUCAAAUCGAAACUACAAUUAAGGUAAAGAAAAAAAAAGAUGAAUGAAUGUUUAAUUUUUUUUUCUUUCUACUUGUUGAUUGAAGUUGAUAUUAUUUUUAACAAGCCAUUAGUUUUUAUCUUAUCAUUUGCAGGUAGGAAAAAGACCUUAUUAUCAACCACAAAAAUUAUCAUCAUUUUCAUCUUCAUCUUCAUCAUCAUCAUAAUCAUGGUAAAAGUUUUCAACUCUCAUGAGACAGAUAUAAACAUGGCGUCAAUUUCAAGAUUAUGAUCAUCUUGCAUCUAAAUGAACGCACCCAUCAGUUCACCUAAAGUCAUUGGAGAUGAGAAGAUGAUGAGAAAGAAGAGAGAGAAGAGAGAGAGAGAAAGAAAGAGCGGGAGAUAGAUCAAGUCAAGGUGGGUCCUCUUUGCAAUGGAGAGAAGAUGGAAGAUGAGAAGAUGAUGAAAAGGGGAAUGGCGAUUGAUUAAGCAAAAAGAAAAUACAAUUUAGUUGAAUUGACGAUCGCUGAUGAAUCUGUUUAUGAGUUGAAACUGAUGAUUGGUUUUACAUUUUGGUGAAGAGAUGAAGAUAAAAAUGAUUAUGAUGAUAACAGAGAGAAGAUAAAACUAACUCUCUUUAUUAUCAAUAGAGAGAAAGGAAGAGAGAGAGAGAGAGAGAGAGAGAGUCAAUCUCUCUCAUCUUCUUGCCAGGUAACUUUAACUUCGUCUUCCAAAUCAUCAUCAAUAAAUCAUUGAUCUUUAAUUUCUGCUGAUUUUUCAAGGUCAAUUUUAAGUCUUAUUUUGUAUCAUCUUCAUCUCAUUCGUGUGUCUUAACCAUUUCAUUUCUUUUCUUCAUCCUCAUCCUCAUCUUCAUCAUCUUCAGUAAAUGUAUCAUUGUGUGUAUCCUGAGAUGUCAUCAAUGGUUUGAUAUUAGUCGAUUCUGAGGUUCAUCAUAUUAUUGAAAUCAAACUAAUUACUUUUAAUCACGUAACAAUUUUAAAGGAAAGAGAAAAAUAAUUUAACUUAUCAACUUGAUUUCAUUUUACUUUUUUUUUCUCUCUCUCUACAAUUAAUUAAUUAUAAGCAG